UCCUGGACCAGUUGGGACCCAGAGCAGAUUUCCUUUCUUUGAGGAGAAAAACUAGUCCAGAAUACAGGGCAAGGGCCUGGGUAAUAAGGACUCUCCUUCACCUUCAUCCAGAGACUCAGGAUUGCCACCAAGUCAGUUAAAGAAUCUGCUUUCUUCCAGGAAUCUGAAGGAGUGCCUAUAAAUUGGAGAAUAGAUGAAGAGGUUAUGACAUAAAUGUGAUGGAAUAAUAUUACGCUAAACACAAACAGGAUUCCAGAGGACAACUGAUGAAACAUGUUACCCACCUGAAAGAGAAAUGAAAGACUCAGAUGAAGAAUGAAGCAAAAUUUUUUUGGA